CUGACACAGAACCAUGACACACCUGUCGUAAAGCUAAAUAUUCAGAUGAGUUGGGGAAACAACCAGAGGGGGAGAGGUUAUUGCAUGGAGGAAGCAUUGUUCAAGAUCUGUACGUGUGCACCUGCAGCUAUAUGCAGCUUCCUCCAUUCUCAUUAUGUAUUUUUCCACAGUGACAUCAUGAUGAAGUCCAACCUACUAAAAGUAACUCAAAGUGACUUCCGAAAGAGAGACUGAAAAGAAAGUAUUGAGUCUGAGGGAGCUGGAUGAGCAGACCUUUACUCACCUUUACUCACAAGCAUAAAGUCAUCACAGCUGACUCUGGACGGGAUGUUACUGUGCCAUGUCAAGCUCCAAACAACAACAACAACUUAGUUGCCCCAAACAACAAGAGCUCAAACCUCACACCUGUUUCUCACCUGCAGGUCAGACAGGAGGAGACACAGAGGAUGGAUCUUUUGGACUGAUCCUUCGUCUGUCAGUUCCUGUUGUGGUUCUGGUGUUAAUUAUCUUUAAACUACAUAAACAUUGUGUGACAUUUUAGAAGCUGUCAUCCA
ensembl:lncRNA